CACAGAGAGAGGCAGAAGGAGGGGCAGGCUCCAUGCAGGGAGCCCGAUGUGGGACUCGAUCCCGGGACCUUGGGAUCACACCCUGAGCCAAAGGCAGAUGCUCAACCACUGAGCCACUCAGGCAUCCUGAAAUUCCAAAAAUUCUUAACAUGAUGACAACAUGGUGAGAAAGAGUAUCACUGCUUCCAAUAGCUAGUGUAAAAAGACUACUGUGUUUUAAAAAAUUGUGUGGUUAUUUAAAUAUUAUAUAUGCAAUUUGAAGUGCUUGUAUAUUAAAUACCACAGCUUGCUGCUCAUACUAGCAUUGAGUUUAGGGACAUAUUAGAAAUGAAAUAGUGCUAUGUCUGGUUUCAGAGCAAAAGGAGCUCAGGUGACUAUAGAUUAUGAUGGUGAAUAUGGCUUUAAUUACAAACACGAGAAGACUCAUUGAAGACUAGAUAGCAGGACAGAUGUGAUGUAAAAAAAGUCAAAUCAAACAUUUUGGUGUUGAAGGGCUAUGUUCGAAAUACUUUAGUCCAUAAUCCAUCUCUUAUGAUGGGCUGAUUAAUUAAUGAUCUCCCUGCCCCAGGAUUCACAUUCUUUGGAAAUGACUUUUAUUAAAUUUCAAUAAAUUGUGAGUCCCAAUGGUAUUUUAUUUUCCAAACAUGGAUGAGUUCAUCUACACCUUUAGGUCACUUGGUCAGAAUGCUCAAGAAAACUACGGAUCACGUUCACAUUCCAUAUUCUUAGUUAUCCUCAUUGCUGCUGCUGUGUUACCUGGUCUCCAUAUGGCAUGGUCCAAGAACAGGAGGAGGGAAUGAGACAGAAGGGAGUUUGGCCCCAAUGCCAAACUCUGGGCUUCUGCAGCCAAUUCCAUCUAGCCUCAGGGACGUUGCCUGAUAGCCUGGGAUCUGAGGCUUUUCCCCAGAAUGACUGAUGAGGAGUACUGGACAGUGAAACAUUUUGUCACAAGAAAGUGCUGGACAGCCAUUUCAUGAUUAAGGUCAACUCUAAGGAUCUAACAUCCUACCUAUUCCCAUCAGUUUGCUGGAUGUCUGGUAUUUUGCUUUCCUUAGAGAGGAAGGUCUGAUCACUUAACACUGUUACAGAAAGAGUCAAGUGAAAUGAAAGCUGGGUCUUGAUGGAUGAGUAAGAAGUCACUGGGG
rnacentral:lncRNA from 1 species